rnacentral:tRNA from 1 species
AAGGCUGAAGAUCUAAUAAAAGCUGCUAACUUCUUAUUAUAGCGGUUGAAUUCCGUUAAGCAUUC